rnacentral:misc_RNA from 1 species
GAUGAAGAACGUAGCGAAAUGCGAUAAGUAAUGUGAAUUGCAGAAUUCAGUGAAUCAUCGAAUCUUUGAACGCAUCUUGCGCUCCUUGGUAUUCCGGGGGGCAUGCCUGUCCGAGCGUCAUUGCUGCCCUCAAGCACGGCUUGUGUGUUGGGCCUCCGUCCUCCUCCCGGGGGACGGGCCCGAAAGGCAGCGGCGGCACCGCGUCCGGUCCUCGAGCGUAUGGGGCUUCGUCACCCGCUCUUGUAGGCCCGGCCGGCGCUUGCCGACACAUCAAUCUUUUUUCCAGGUUGACCUCGGAUCAGGUAGGGAUACCCGCUGAACUUAAGCAUAUCAAUAAGCGGAGGA